UUUAAGUGUAGUUAUAAAUUUUCAUGUUCAAUAUUUGAUUAUCCGUUCUUUUUUUUAAAAAAUAUAAUUAGUAUUUUUAUUAUUAAUAGAUAAUAAAACAUGAAUAGUAUUCUAUGCAUGACUUAUUUUCCUAAAGAAAUUUCAUAAAUUUUUCAAAUAAAACGGGUUGUCAAAUAUUGGAUAUGGAAAACUUACAAUUGCACUCAAA
rnacentral:pre_miRNA from 1 species